CCGCCGUCACUCCCCCGACCCCGCACCCCGCUGCCGUGACACCCCCCGGCCCCCAUCCCGCUGCCAUCACGCCUCCCGGCCCCCGCACCCUUGUCUGUGUCCCACAGCACAGGACCUGUCAGCGAGCGUCUGGCGCCUUCCUCCCUCCCCUGCAGAGACCCGCCAGGCCCCUCCAACAGGUGCUUUCUAAACUGCAAUUUCCUCAUCUACAAAAGGACAAUCACAACAACGGAACCCAGGGGACAGGACUGCAUCAACUACAACCAGACGGCGUAGACGGCAGCACACGGCCCUCGGCAAAUCAGAGGUGCUCAGUGACCACAGCCACCAUGACAGCAGGGCGGGGCGGGGGGCAAGGAAGCAGCGCUGGGAGACUUGGAGACACCCCAAAAAACGCCUUCCUCAGAAACACUGCUGUGCAAGAACCUGCAAAUCCCUAAGGCGUCUGUGUCCGAUGGCCCCGGCCCCAUGCUCUGAGGUCGCGCAGGUGUCCAAGGCCAGGAGGGGCACCGAGGAGACGAAGAAGAAACAGCACAGCAGCUGGGGAGGUAGGAACAGCAGAGUCUGAGUCACCAAAGCCCGGGGCUGCCACUCUCCAGGGCGCCCCACUCCCAGCUCCAGCGGCUGAGUCCACCAAGCCAGGACAGGCCCAAGGACCAGAGGGCGAGGUGAUUCACAGUGGAGCUCGGAAAGACCCAUCCAUGCCCAGCGCCUUGUCAAAAACCACAGGGGUCUUGGUGACAAGCAAUUGAGGGAGGCCAACAUGGCAGAGCCAGGGCUGCAAAAUCGGCUGGAAUAAGCAUCAGACCUGCUAGAAGGGUUUUCUGUGCCUGUUUUCGGUGAGCACAGAACAACUGAAGGAAGCGCGGGACAGACACAAGGGCGGGCCUCGGUGCCACGGCUGGCCUUGGGCAGAGGGAAAUGCUUUGUGUACUUUCUCUGGGAAGCAGCAGCCCCAGCGCGGCCUCGGCGUCCUCUGCCGCCAACUGCUCCGUGACCGCUGGGCGUGUGUGCGGGGACAUGGGAGCAACUUCACAGUGGUGGGAAGUUUCUCUCCUAAAACGAAAGCUUCUCUAUACUACAGAUUGGCCCCAUUAAAUAAAAGAAAAUACGGUGUAUUUUUACAGCGUUUGGGAUUGGAAAUGACUGAGAUUCACGGUGGCUCUAGUCCUGUCUCCUGAAGACGGAGCUGGA
rnacentral:lncRNA from 10 species